rnacentral:rRNA from 1 species
CAGAGGGUGCGAGCGUUGUCCGGAAUCACUGGGCGUAAAGGGCGCGUAGGUGGCUCCGCAAGUCCAUGGUGAAAGCUCGUCGCUCAACGACGAGUCGGCCACGGAUACUGCAGGGCUGGAGCACUGUAGAGGCAGAUGGAAUUCCGGGUGUAGCGGUGGAAUGCGUAGAGAUCCGGAAGAACACCGGUGGCGAAGGCGGUCUGCUGGGCAGUUGCUGACACUGAGGCGCGACAGCGUGGGGAGCAAACAGGAUUAGAUACCCUGGUAGUCCACGCCGUAAACGAUGGGCACUAGAUGCUUGGGGGAGCGACCCCCUGAGUGUUGUCGCUAACGCAGUAAGUGCCCCGCCUGGGGAGUACGGCCGCAAGGCUG